rnacentral:rRNA from 1 species
GACGAACGCUGGCGGCGUGCUUAACACAUGCAAGUCGAACGGAAAGGCCCUGCUUUUGUGGGGUGCUCGAGUGGCGAACGGGUGAGUAACACGUGAGUAACCUGCCCUUGACUUUGGGAUAACUUCAGGAAACUGGGGCUAAUACCGGAUAGGAGCUCCUGCUGCAUGGUGGGGGUUGGAAAGUUUCGGCGGUUGGGGUUGGACUCGCGGCUUAUCAGCUUGUUGGUGGGGUAGUGGCUUACCAAGGCUUUGACGGGUAGCCGGCCUGAGAGGGUGACCGGCCACAUUGGGACUGGGGUACGGCCAAGACUCCUACGGGAGGCAGCAGUGGAGAAUAUUGCACAAUGGGCGGAAGCCUGAUGCAGCAACGCCGCGUGCGGGAUGACGGCCUUCGGGUUGUAAACCGCUUUCGCCUGUGACGAAGCGUGAGUGACGGUAAUGGGUAAAGAAGCACCGGCUAACUACGUG